GAAAUGCGUUACCUAGUGUGACAUGCAUACACUCGUGAAUCACCGACAUCUUGAACGUAACUGACAGAGCUUGCGUAAGCGAGCUUUAAUCACGACCGAGUGCCAACAUUACACCACCAAAGAUUGAGCGUUCGUUUUCUACCCAAGAACCCUUAGCGGGCUCUGAUGUGCAUGAAGACGUCGCUUUAAAUUCAACCGUUGUUCACAAAAUUGUUAUCGGAUAAAUUUUUUUUUUUCCAGUAAAUACCUUGUGACCGGGAUCCUAACCUCGUAAUAUUUCGGGGGACUUUUAUAACCGAGAGCAAAAUACUUUCGGUCAUAUUUGACCUCGAUCGUGAUAGACUACCCGCUGAAUUUAA
rnacentral:misc_RNA from 1 species